CGGGGCUGGAAGCUUCCUGACUGAAGAUCUCUCUGCACUUGGGGUUCUUUCUAGAACAUUUUCUAGUCCCCCAACACCCUUUAUGGCGUAUUUCUUUAAAAAAAUCACCUAAAUUCCAUAAAAUAUUUUUUUAAAUUCUAUACUUUCUCCUAGUGUCUUCUUGACACGUCCUCCAUAUUUUUUUAAAGAAAGUAUUUGGAAUAUUUUGAGGCAAUUUUUAAUAUUUAAGGAAUUUUUCUUUGGAAUCAUUUUUGGUUGACAUCUCUGUUUUUUGUGGAUCAGUUUUUUACUCUUCCACUCUCUUUUCUAUAUUUUGCCCAUCGGGGCUGCGGAUACCUGGUUUUAUUAUUUUUUCUUUGCCCAACGGGGCCGUGGAUACCUGCCUUUUAAUUCUUUUUUAUUCGCCCAUCGGGGCCGCGGAUACCUGCUUUUUAUUUUUUUUUCCUUAGCCCAUCGGGGUAUCGGAUACCUGCUGAUUCCCUUCCCCUCUGAACCCCCAACACUCUGGCCCAUCGGGGUGACGGAUAUCUGCUUUUUAAAAAUUUUCUUUUUUUGGCCCAUCGGGGCUUCGGAUACCUGCUUUUUUUUUUUUUAUUUUUCCUUGCCCAUCGGGGCCUCGGAUACCUGCUUUAAUUUUUGUUUUUCUGGCCCAUCGGGGCCGCGGAUACCUGCUUUGAUUUUUUUUUUUCAUCGCCCAUCGGUGCUUUUUAUGGAUGAAAAAAUGUUGGUUUUGUGGGUUGUUGCACUCUCUGGAAUAUCUACACUUUUUUUUGCUGCUGAUCAUUUGGUGGUGUGUGAGUGUACCUACCGCUUUGGCAGAGAAUGACUCUGCAGUUAAGCUAAGGGCGUGUUCAGAUUGUGGAGGAAAAGUGGCCGCCAUUUUAGACUUGCCGCAUAACUCGGCUUAGGGCUAGUCGUUUGUGCUAAGUUAAACUAGGGAGGCAAGAUGGAUGAUAGCAGGUCAGGCAGAGGAAGUCAUGUGCAUUGCAUGAGCUAAACCUAUCUGAAUGAAUUGAUUUGGGGCUUGUUAGGAGCUUUGCGUGAUUGUUGUAUCGGGAGGCAGUAAGAAUCAUCUUUUAUCAGUACAAGGGACUAGUUAAAAAUGGAAGGUUAGGAAAGACUAAGGUGCAGGGCUUAAAAUGGCGAUUUUGACAUUGCGGCAUUGCUCAGCAUGGCGGGCUGUGCUUUGUUAGGUUGUCCAAAAUGGCGGAUCCAGUUCUGUCGCAGUGUUCAAGUGGCGGGAAGGCCACAUCAUGAUGGGCGAGGCUUUGUUAAGUGGUUAGCAUGGUGGUGGACAUGUGCGGUCACACAGGAAAAGAUGGCGGCUGAAGGUCUUGCCGCAGUGUAAAACAUGGCGGGCCUCUUUGUCUUUGCUGUGUGCUUUUCGUGUUGGGUUUUGCCGCAGGGACAAUAUGGCAGGCGUUGUCAUAUGUAUAUCAUGGCUUUUGUCACGUGGACAUCAUGGCGGGCUUGCCGCAUUGUUAAAGAUGGCGGGUUUUGCCGCCUAGUGCCACGCAGAGCGGGAGAAAAGGUGGGAUGGACAGUGCUGGAUUGCUGCAUAACCCAACCAAUUAGAAAUGGGGGUGGAAUUGAUCACAGCCAAUUAGAGCAGAAGAUGGAAUUAGACUGAUGACACACUGUCCAGCUACUCAGCGAAGACCUGGGUGAAUUAGCAUGGCACUUCGCAGCUGUCUUUAGCCAGUCAGGAGAAAGAAGUGGAGGGGCCACGUGUAUGUCUCCCAGUGGGCGGUACACCAGGUGUUUUCAAGGUCUUUUCAAGGACAUUUAGCCUUUCCACCUCUGUCCCCUCUUAUUUGUCCCCUCCUGUCCAGUGCUGCCUCUUGCAGUGCUGGAUAUCUGGCUGUGUGGUCUGAACCUCCCUCCAUUCCUCUGUAUUGGUGCCUCACCUAAGGCUAAGUAUACCUCCCCCCCCACCCCCCAACCCCCCCAACUCCCCACCCCCACCCCCCACCCCCCACCUCCCCACCCCCCUACCCCCCUACCCCCCUACCCCCCUCUGGUCUGCCCUGCACUGCACUGUUGCCAUGGGCAGUGCUCCAGGCCUGCUUGGUGUGGACAUGGUGGUGAGCCGUGGCAAGGACCAGAAUGGAUCACAGAUGAUCGUUGGCCAACAGGUGGCAGAAGAGGAAUUCCUGCCUUCCUCAAGAGGAACACCUACCCCUUGGCUAAUGCUGGGGAUGUCAAAAGAUCGGCCCAGCUCAGGGAGCAGUUUGCCCUACUAGCUCCUCGGACAGCUGUAAAGAAGAGUCUCUGGCUCUUUAGAAUACUGGAUCCCAUUGAAGAUACCACGCUGCAUGUGUCCUUAGUAGUCAUGUCUCCUUAGGCUCCUCUUGAUCUUCCUCAGAAGAAUAGGCUUGUUGUUUUACAGUGUUAGUGAUCCAUUCCCUUUGACGAUCCCUAGGUGGAGAUGGGGCAUGAGGAUCCUCCAGGGGAAAAGCUCACUACCACUGGGCAACAACCCUAGGUCAGGAGGUUCUGUCAAGAUACUUUCCUGGUCCCAGAUAGGAAGAUAAAGUCUCAAAAACAACCACCACACGUCAAGCUCUUCAUUGUUCCUAUCUGCCAAAUCAUUAUACUUCCUACAAGCAGUGCAGAGAGCUGAGUCUUCAGCAGGUCCAAGAAAUUUGAACACACUGAAGGAAGUCAGCCUUCCCACCUGAAGAUCAACAUGCCUGGCACUCUAGCACUUGAGGAUAGCUGAAUGAAUGUGUCUUACCCAUUUCCAUGUUUCUCUUGCUAAUUUCUUUCGUGUGUGCCUUUGCCUCAUUUUCUCUUUUUGUUCACAAGAGUGGUCUGUGUCUUGUCUUAGACAUAUCUCUCAUUUUUCAUUUUGUUGCUAUUUCUCUUUGCUCUCCUAGAUGUGGCUCUUCUUUCACGCUUUAUUUCAUGUCUCCUUUUUGGGUCACAUGCUGUGUGCUUUUUGUCCUUUUCUUGUUCUGUCUACCUCUCCUUUCUCUGCCUACCUCUCUUUUCUCUUUGUGAACUGUGAUUAUUUGUUACCCCUUCCCCUUCUCGUUCGUUUUAAAUUUCACCUUUUUUCUGAGUCUGGCCUCCUUUCUGCUGUUUCUACUUUUUAUCUCACAUUUCUCAUUUCUGCAUUUCCUUUCUGCCUCUCUUGGGCUAUUCUCUCUCUCCUCCCCUGCGUGCCUCAGCAUCUCUUGCUGUUUGUGAUUUUCUAUUUCAGUAUUAAUCUCUGUUGGCUUGUAUUUGUUCUCUGCUUCUUCCCUUUCUACUCACCUUUGAGUAUUUCAGCCUCUUCAUGAAUCUAUCUCCCUCUCUUUGAUUUCAUGUAAUCUCUCCUUAAAUAUUUCUUUGCAUAUGUGGGCAAGUGUACGUGUGUGUGUGUCAUGUGUGGCAGAGGGGCUUCCUAACCCCUGCCUGAUAGGUGCAGAACGUCGGCUAUCAGAGCAAGCAUUGUGGAGCGGUUCCUUAUGCCAGGCUGCCAUGUGAGAUGAUCCAAGACCAAAACAAGGCCCUAGACUGCAGUAAAACCCAGAACUCAAGUAGGGCAGAAGGUGGAAGGCUCAUAUGGAUAGAAGGCCCAAAGUAUAAGACAGAUGGUUUGAGACUUGAGACCCGAGGACUAAGAUGGAAAGCCCAUGUUCCAAGAUAGAUAGAAGCCUCAGGCCUGAAACCAACAAAAGCCUCAAGAGCCAAGAAAACAGAGGGUGGCCUGAAUUGGACCGAAGGCCUGAGUUGGAUGGAAGUCUCAAGGCUUGAGUUAGAAGUCUUAAGACCUGGGACAGGACACAUGGAAGGCCUAAGAACUGAGACUUGUGACACAAGGCCAACGACCUAAGAUUAGCCCAGGGUUGUAGCUGGAAGACCUACAACCCAAGGAUGGAAGGCCCCUGUCACAAAGCCUACCUAGAUGGAUAGAGGACCCAAGCGAAAAAGGUAUCUCAAGACUAACGGCCGGAAUCUGGAGGCCCAUGACCCAGAACCCAGGAAGGAUAGAAGCUUGAAGACCUGGGGAAAUCCCAAGAUGAGAACCCUAAACCCUACCUCUUUUCUAUUGUUUACACUUCUUACUCUUAGAUAUUUCCAGUUCUCCUGUUUAUCUUUAAGCCUGAUUCUUUUGAGAUGUACUUUUUGAUGUUGCCGGUUACCUUUAGAUUGACAGUAUUAUGCCUGGGCCAGUCUUGAGCCAGCUUUAAAUCACAGCUUUUACCUAUUUGUUAGGCUAUAGUGUUUUGUAAACUUCUGUUUCUAUUCACAUCUUCUCCACUUGAGAGAGACACCAAAAUCCAGUCAGUAUCUAAUCUGGCUUUUGUUAACUUCCCUCAGGAGCAGACAUUCAUAUAGGUGAUACUGUAUUUCAGUCCUUUCUUUUGACCCCAGAAGCCCUAGACUGAGAAGAUAAAAUGGUCAGGUUGUUGGGGAAAAAAAAGUGCCAGGCUCUCUAGAGAAAAAUGUGAAGAGAUGCUCCAGGCCAAUGAGAAGAAUUAGACAAGAAAUACACAGAUGUGCCAGACUUCUGAGAAGCACCUGCCAGCAACAGCUUCCUUCUUUGAGCUUAGUCCAUCCCUCAUGAAAAAUGACUGACCACUGCUGGGCAGCAGGAGGGAUGAUGACCAACUAAUUCCCAAACCCCAGUCUCAUUGGUACCAGCCUUGGGGAACCACCUACACUUGAGCCACAAUUGGUUUUGAAGUGCAUUUACAAGGUUUGUCUAUUUUCAGUUCUUUACUUUUUACAUGCUGACACAUACAUACACUGCCUAAAUAGAUCUCUUUCAGAAACAAUCCUCAGAUAACGCAUAGCAAAAUGGAGAUGGAGACAUGAUUUCUCAUGCAACAGCUUCUCUAAUUAUACCUUAGAAAUGUUCUCCUUUUUAUCAUCAAAUCUGCUCAAGAAGGGCUUUUUAUAGUAGAAUAAUAUCAGUGGAUGAAAACAGCUUAACAUUUUACCAUGCUUAAGUUUUAAGAAUAAAAUAAAAAUUGGAAAUAAUUGGCCAAAAUUGAAAGGAAAAAUUUUUUUAAAAUUUCUCUAAAUGUAGGCCUGGCUGGGCUUUGACCUUUUCCGUUUUUAAAUCACUCACAGAGGGUGGGACAGGAGGAAGAGUGAAGGAAAAGGUCAAACCUGUUUUAAGGGCAACCUGCCUUUGUUCUGAAUUGGUCUUAAGAACAUUACCAGCUCCAGGUUUAAAUUGUUCAGUUUCAUGCAGUUCCAAUAGCUGAUCAUUGUUGAGAUGAGGACAAAAUCCUUUGUCCUCACUAGUUUGCUUUACAUUUUUGAAAAGUAUUAUUUUUGUCCAAGUGCUUAUCAACUAAACCUUGUGUUAGGUAAGAAUGGAAUUUAUUAAGUGAAUCAGUGUGACCCUUCUUGUCAUAAGAUUAUCUUAAAGCUGAAGCCAAAAUAUGCUUCAAAAGAAGAGGACUUUAUUGUUCAUUGUAGUUCAUACAUUCAAAGCAUCUGAACUGUAGUUUCUAUAGCAAGCCAAUUACAUCCAUAAGUGGAGAAGGAAAUAGAUAAAUGUCAAAGUAUGAUUGGUGGAGGGAGCAAGGUUGAAGAUAAUCUGGGGUUGAAAUUUUCUAGUUUUCAUUCUGUACAUUUUUAGUUAGACAUCAGAUUUGAAAUAUUAAUGUUUACCUUUCAAUGUGUGGUAUCAGCUGGACUCAGUAACACCCCUUUCUUCAGCUGGGGAUGGGGAAUGGAUUAUUGGAAAAUGGAAAGAAGAAAGUAACUAAAAGCCUUCCUUUCACAGUUUCUGGCAUCACUACCACUACUGAUUAAACAAGAAUAAGAGAACAUUUUAUCAUCAUCUGCUUUAUUCACAUAAAUGAAGUUGUGAUGAAUAAAUCUGCUUUUAUGCAGACACAAGGAAUUAAGUGGCUUCGUCAUUGUCCUUCUACCUCAAAGAUAAUUUAUUCCAAAAGCUAAGAUAAAUGGAAGACUCUUGAACUUGUGAACUGAUGUGAAAUGCAGAAUCUCUUUUGAGUCUUUGCUGUUUGGAAGAUUGAAAAAUAUUGUUCAGCAUGGGUGACCACCAGAAAGUAAUCUUAAGCCAUCUAGAUGUCACAAUUGAAACAAACUGGGGAGUUGGUUGCUAUUGUAAAAUAAAAUAUACUGUUUUG
rnacentral:lncRNA from 1 species